CCCUUAGAUGUUCUGGGCUGCACGCGCGCUACACUGAUGCACUCAACGAGUUUACGACCUUGCCCGAUAGGGUUGGGUAAUCUUUUUAAAAUGCAUCGUGAUGGGGAUAGAUUAUUGCAAUUAUUAAUCUUCAACGAGGAAUUCCUAGUAAGCGCGAGGCAUCAGCUCGCGUUGAUUACGUCCCUGCCCUUUGUACACACCGCCCGUCGCUACUACCGAUUGGGAAAAUUUUAGAGAGUCCUGGACUGAUGAUUGUUCGGCUUCACGGCCUUACUUUCGUCGGGAAAGAAUUCGAUAAUAUUUUUCUAGAGGAAGUAAAAGUCGUAACA
rnacentral:rRNA from 1 species